AGCUGCUGCUGGGAGCUGCUCCUGGGGCCCUUUGACAGGGUGGGGGAGGAGGCAGUAGCAAGUCCAGCUAGACAAUAUAAUCCACGUGAAGCCCCAAGCUGGAAGAGAGGGAGCAUCUGUGAACAAACAGGCCAAGGAAUCUCCAAAAUGUGACUGGGAACAGACUUUCAAAGCAGCUCGUUCUCAGGAAGACCUUGAAGGAGAUGAGAUGUUUAAGGGAAACCACCUGGGCUUGCUGCAAAGCCUCUGAAAGAUAAGACAUGAUGGGGGAGUGAAGACCGGGAAAAGCCUAGCAGGCCAGAGACAUAGAGCCAGUGAAAAAGUUAACUGACAG